GGGUUUGUGGCUCAGCAGUAGAGUGCUUGCCUCAAACGUGUGAGGCCCUGGGUUCGAUCCUCAGCACCA
rfam:Ictidomys tridecemlineatus contig053224, whole genome shotgun sequence.